UACGAAGGGGGGCUAGCGUUGCUCGGAAUUACUGGGCGUAAAGGGCGCGUAGGCGGCUCUUCAAGUCAGGCGUGAAAGCCCCGGGCUCAACCUGGGAAUGGCGCUUGGGACUGGAGGGCUCGAGUUCGGGAGAGGAGAGUGGAAUUCCCAGUGUAGAGGUGAAAUUCGUAGAUAUUGGGAAGAACACCGGUGGCGAAGGCGGCUCUCUGGACCGAGACUGACGCUGAGGCGCGAAAGCGUGGGGAGCAAACAGGG
rnacentral:rRNA from 1 species